AGUGAACGCUGGCGGCAGGCCUAACACAUGUAAGUCGAGCGGCAGCGCGGGGCAACCCUGGCGGCGAGCGGCGGACGGGUGAGGAAUACAUCGGAAUCUACCCAGUCGUGGGGGAUAACGUAGGGAAACUUACGCUAAUACCGCAUACGACCUGAGGGUGAAAGCAGGGGACCGCAAGGCCUUGCGCGAUUGGAUGAGCCGAUGUCCGAUUAGCUAGUUGGUGAGGUAAAGGCUCACCAAGGCGACGAUCGGUAGCUGGUCUGAGAGGAUGAUCAGCCACACUGGAACUGAGACACGGUCCAGACUCCUACGGGAGGCAGCAGUGGGGAAUAUUGGGCAAUGGGCGCAAGUCUGAUCCAGCCAUGCCGCGUGUGUGAAGAAGGCCUUCGGGUUGUAAAGCAACUUUUCGUCCGGUAAAGAAAUCCUGUCGGUUAAUACCUGGCGGGGAUGACGGUACCGGAAGAAUAGGCACCGGCUAACUUCGUGCCAGCAGCCGCGGUAAUACGAAGGGUGCAAGCGUUACUCGGAAUUACUGGGCGUAAAGCGUGCGUAGGCCGGUUCGUUAAGUCAGAUGUGAAAGCCCCGGGCUCAACCUGGGAAUUGCAUUUGAUACUGGCGGGCUAGAGUACGGUAGAGGGUGGUGGAAUUCCCGGUGUAGCAGUGAAAUGCGUAGAGAUCGGGAGGAACAUCUGUGGCGAAGGCGG
rnacentral:rRNA from 1 species